rnacentral:lncRNA from 1 species
CUUGAUUCGAAAAUAAAAAUACCUUUUUCUGACAAUCUGUAAAACUGUUAAAAUGUUCAUCAAUUUUUAGAGACUCAGUGAAAAGAACUUGUCUAAGAUUGUUAUAAACAGGACAAUGUAAAAUAACAUGAUAUUCAUCUUUGACAGUAUUAAAACAAUUAAAACAACAUCUCUCUUCCAGCGGCAAAUUUUCAUACCUCCCAGUUUCCAGUCUAAUAGGAGCCACAUCUUAAUUUUGCAAAGGCGCUUCUUUCACAAAAAGGCAUUAACAGUUUCACAUGUUUUAGUU